AACGAACGCUGGCGGCAUGCCUAACACAUGCAAGUCGAACGAGACCUUCGGGUCUAGUGGCGCACGGGUGCGUAACGCGUGGGAACCUUCCCUUAGGUUCGGAAUAACUCCCCGAAAGGGGUGCUAAUACCGGAUAAUGUCUUCGGACCAAAGAUUUAUCGCCUUUGGAUGGGCCCGCGUUGGAUUAGCUAGUUGGUAGGGUAAAAGCCUACCAAGGCGACGAUCCAUAGCUGGUCUGAGAGGAUGAUCAGCCACACUGGGACUGAGACACGGCCCAGACUCCUACGGGAGGCAGCAGUGGGGAAUAUUGGACAAUGGGCGAAAGCCUGAUCCAGCAAUGCCGCGUGAGUGAUGAAGGCCUUAGGGUUGUAAAGCUCUUUUACCCGGGAUGAUAACGACAGUACCGGGAGAAUAAGCUCCGGCUAACUCCGUG
rnacentral:rRNA from 1 species